rnacentral:ncRNA from 1 species
UAUCCUAGGGGUGCCUUUUUUAAGAGGCUGAGAUAUCGCUGAUGCGGUGACCCUGAGAACCUGAUCCGGGUUAUGCCGGCGGAGGAAAGGAGC